GCGGGAUUAGUACAGUGGUAGUACGAUUGCUUCCCAAGCAAUAGACGCCAGUUCGAUCCUGGUAUCCCGCU
rnacentral:tRNA from 1 species